GAAAAUCUGUAAUUAUUCUUUCAAUACUAUAGUUGUUGAAAUGGGAUUUUACUUUUAAAAAAAUGGAAAAAUGCCACGCAACGGAAAAAUUAAGGUGAAUUGGAUUUACUUUGCAAACAUUUAGAUAUAGUUACUACUUGCACUUACAUGAUCAAAGUAACAGGAAAUGUGGACUUUUUAACCAAGAAAAAAAGGAAUUCUCAUUGUCAUUUGUUUUUGGUCAAAAUAAAAAUGGAGACGGAAAGUUGUGUCAAGCAGAAUAAUUGUGAAUUUUGAGCGAGUGUUGAGAACAGCGCCAUCACGUGUUACUUUUUGGCACAUGAAAACGCAAACCACUAAGCUGACAUAUUUUUCCUUCAAAAUACAUAGGAGUCGGAC